CCUACGGGAGGCAGCAGUGGGGAAUUUUGGACAAUGGGGGAAACCCUGAUCCAGCCAUUCCGCGUGAGUGAAGAAGGCCUUCGGGUUGUAAAGCUCUUUCGGCAGGAACGAAACGGCGGACUCUAACAUAGUCUGUCAAUGACGGUACCUGAAGAAGAAGCACCGGCUAACUACGUGCCAGCAGCCGCGGUAAUACGUAGGUGGCUAGCGUUAUCCGGAUUCACUGGGCGUAAAGAGCGCGUAGGCGGUGUGGUAAGUUGGAGGUGAAAGCCCCCGGCUUAACCGGGGGAGGGCGUCGAAUACUGGUGCACUUGAGGGUGGACGGGGAAAGCGGAAUUCCCGGUGUAGGGGUGAAAUGCGUAGAUAUCGGGAGGAACACCAGUGGCGAAGGCGGCUUUCUAGACCACUACUGACGCUGAGGCGCGAAAGCGGGGGGAGCGAACGGGAUUAGAUCCCCCUGUAGU
rnacentral:rRNA from 1 species